rnacentral:rRNA from 1 species
AAUGAACGCUGGCGGCAUGCCUAACACAUGCAAGUCGAACGAAGGCUUCGGCCUUAGUGGCGCACGGGUGCGUAACGCGUGGGAAUCUGCCCCUUGGUUCGGAAUAACAGCGAGAAAUUGCUGCUAAUACCGGAUAAUGACGUAAGUCCAAAGAUUUAUCGCCUAGGGAUGAGCCCGCGUAGGAUUAGCUAGUUGGUGUGGUAAAGGCGCACCAAGGCGACGAUCCUAGCUGGUCUGAGAGGAUGAUCAGCCACACUGGGACUGAGACACGGCCCAGACUCCUACGGGAGGCAGCAGUGGGGAAUAUUGGACAAUGGGCGAAAGCCUGAUCCAGCAAUGCCGCGUGAGUGAUGAAGGCCUUAGGGUUGU